rnacentral:rRNA from 1 species
CAUUUGUUCUCUAAAUAAGGACUUGUAUGAAUGGCCACACGAGGGUUUUACUGUCUCUUACUUCCAAUCAGUGAAAUUGACCUUCCCGUGAAGAGGCGGGAAUACACAAAUAAGACGAGAAGACCCUAUGGAGCUUUAACUAACCAACCCAAAGAAAAUAAAUUUAACCAUUAAGGAAUAACAACAAUCUUCAUGAGUUGGUAGUUUCGGUUGGGGUGACCUCGGAGAAUAAAAAAACCUCCGAACGAUUUAAAAAACUAGACCCACAAGUCAAAUCACUCUAUCGCUCAUUGAUCCAAAAACUUGAUCAACGGAACAAGUUACCCUAGGGAUAACAGCGCAAUCCUAUUCAAGAGUCCAUAUCGACAAUAGGGUUUACGACCUCGAUGUUGGAUCAGGACAUCCUGAUGGUGCAACCGCUAUCAAAGGUUCGUUUGUUCAACGAUUAAAGUCCU